rnacentral:rRNA from 1 species
UGGAGAGUUUGAUCCUGGCUCAGGAUGAACGCUGGCGGCGUGCCUAAUACAUGCAAGUCGAGCGAACGGACGAGAAGCUUGCUUCUCUGAUGUUAGCGGCGGACGGGUGAGUAACACGUGGAUAACCUACCUAUAAGACUGGGAUAACUUCGGGAAACCGGAGCUAAUACCGGAUAAUAUUUUGAACCGCAUGGUUCAAAAGUGAAAGACGGUCUUGCUGUCACUUAUAGAUGGAUCCGCGCUGCAUUAGCUAGUUGG